rnacentral:rRNA from 1 species
AACGAACGCUGGCGGCAUGCCUAACACAUGCAAGUCGAACGAGACCUUCGGGUCUAGUGGCGCACGGGUGCGUAACGCGUGGGAAUCUGCCCUUCGGUUGGGAAUAACUGAGAGAAAUUUCAGCUAAUACCUUAUAAUGUCUUCGGACCAAAGAUUUAUCGCCGAGGGAUGAGCCCGCGUAGGAUUAGGUAGUUGGUGGGGUAAUGGCCUACCAAGCCGAAGAUCCUUAGCUGGUCUGAGAGGCUGAUCAGCCACACUGGGACUGAGACACGGCCCAGACUCAUACGGGAGGCAGCAGUGGGGAAUAUUGGACCAUGGGCGCAAGCCUGAUCCAGCAAUGCCGCGUGAGUGAUGAAGGCCUUAGGGUUGUAAAGCUCUUUUACCCGGGAUGAUAAUGACAGUACCGGGAGAAUAAGCUCCGGCUAACUCCGUG